GACGAACGCUGGCGGCGUGCUUAACACAUGCAAGUCGAACGGAAAGGCCCCUUUGGGGGUACUCGAGUGGCGAACGGGUGAGUAACACGUGAGUAACCUGCCCUUGACUUCGGGAUAACUUCAGGAAACUGGGGCUAAUACCGGAUAGGAAUCCUUGCUGCAUGGUGGGGGUUGGAAAGCUUCGGCGGUUUUGGAUGGACUCGCGGCUUAUCAGCUUGUUGGUGGGGUAGUGGCUUACCAAGGCUUUGACGGGUAGCCGGCCUGAGAGGGCGACCGGCCACAUUGGGACUGAGAUACGGCCCAGGCUCCUACGGGAGGCAGCAGUGGGGAAUAUUGCACAAUGGGCGGAAGCCUGAUGCAGCAACGCCGCGUGCGGGAUGACGGCCUUCGGGUUGUAAACCGCUUUCAGCAGGGGCGAAGCUUUUGUGACGGUACCUGCAGAAGAAGCACCGGCUAACUACGUG
rnacentral:rRNA from 1 species